rnacentral:rRNA from 1 species
AGGACGAACGCUGGCGGCGUGCUUAACGCAUGCAAGUCGAGCGGUAAGGCCUUUCGGGGUACACGAGCGGCGAACGGGUGAGUAACACGUGGGUGAUCUGCCCUGCACUCUGGGAUAAGCCUGGGAAACUGGGUCUAAUACCGGAUAUGACCUGCUCUCGCAUGGGGGGUGGGUGGAAAGAUUUAUCGGUGCAGGAUGGGCCCGCGGCCUAUCAGCUUGUUGGUGGGGUAAUGGCCUACCAAGGCGACGACGGGUAGCCGACCUGAGAGGGUGACCGGCCACACUGGGACUGAGACACGGCCCAGACUCCUACGGGAGGCAGCAGUGGGGAAUAUUGCACAAUGGGCGAAAGCCUGAUGCAGCGACGCCGCGUGAGGAUGAAGGCCUUCGGGUUGUAAACCUCUUUCAGCAGGACGAAGCGCAAGUGACGGUACCUGCAGAAGAAGCAACCGGCUAAACUACGUGCCAGCAGCCGC